rnacentral:rRNA from 1 species
UAAAAAAUUUUGGCGGUAUUUUAAGCUUAUUAGAGGAAUUUGCUCUGUAAUGGACACAACGCCCCAAUCUUACUUAAUUUAGUAAUUUAAAACAGUUUGUAUACCACUAUAUUAAUUAUAUUGAAUAGUUAUAUUUAAAAUUUUUUUAAAAAAAUAUAUUAAGUCAAGGUGCAUCUUAUAAUUAUGAAUGAAGUGAAUUACAUUAAUUUUAAUGUAAUUUUUUACAUGAAAAAAUUAAUUAGGAUUUAAUAGUAAAAUACUAAUAUUAUGAGUAUUUGAAUCAAGCUCUAAAAUAUGCACAUAUCGCCCGUCGCUCUCAGAAGUGAGAUAAGUCGUAACAAAGUAAAAAUACUGGAAAGUGUUUUUUAAAAUGAAAUCAUUUGAUGUUUCAUUUACAAUGAAAAUUUUGUUGUUUAACCAUUUUAA